UAGGGAAUCUUCGGCAAUGGACGAAAGUCUGACCGAGCAACGCCGCGUGAGUGAAGAAGGUCUUCGGAUCGUAAAACUCUGUUGUUAGAGAAGAACAAGGACGUUAGUAACUGAACGUCCCCUGACGGUAUCUAACCAGAAAGCCACGGCUAACUACGUGCCAGCAGCCGCGGUAAUACGUAGGUGGCAAGCGUUGUCCGGAUUUAUUGGGCGUAAAGCGAGCGCAGGCGGUUUCUUAAGUCUGAUGUGAAAGCCCCCGGCUCAACCGGGGAGGGUCAUUGGAAACUGGGGGACUUGAGUGCAGAAGAGGAGAGUGGAAUUCCGUGUGUAGCGGUGAAAUGCGUAGAUAUAUGGAGGAACACCAGUGGCGAAGGCGGCUCUCUGGUCUGUAACUGACGCUGAGGCACGAAAGCGUGGGGAGCAAACAGG
rnacentral:rRNA from 1 species